AAAAUUUUACUUCCGGUAUCGAAUUUUAAAUUUUUAUUUUUGAAAAGUAAGAAUAAAAUCUUGGAAUCUGGCUAAUUUUGUGGUUGUAUUGAUAAAAUAUCGUUUCUAAGAAAGUAGCCUGCUAAUCAUACAUGAACAAUGGUGAAACUGCAUAUUAAGAAGGCAGAGGAGAGUUUGUUUCUUUAUGAAACGACAGUUCAGAUUCUCAUUGAUGAUAUGAUGAAAGAUGUCGCUGCCAUCUAUAACGGAAGACUGAAAGUUGAGCGCUUAUGCUGGGAGGUAGAAUCCCUCUCCAAACAUGGCAUCACACUUCCUCCAAACAUGCAGGGACUCACUGAUGAUCAGAUAACUGAUCUAAAGCUGAAGGAUGAAUGGGAGGACAAGUGUAUUCCAAGUGGAGGAGCCGUCUUCAAGAAAGAUGACAUAGGAAGACGUAACGGACAUGCUCCAAAUGACCAGAUGGCAGAAGUUCUAACAAAAACCAUAGCAGAAGCAAAAGCAAAAAUAUCUAAUAAAAAUGUUGCCAGUAAUAUGUGUGUGACCCAGGCCACAGUUCAAGAUGCCUUAGAUAUCCUAAGAGGUGCUGUAACUAUCGUUUACCCAAUGGGACUCCCUCCACAUGAUCCAAUCAGAGCAGAGUUUGAGAACGAGGAAGAUUUAUCAGGAAGUCAGGCAUCUCUGGACGUCAUUGAAGAGCCACAAGCAGUCCUCUGGUGGGCAGGGAAGGAACUACAACGAGGAAAAAAAUUAAUGGAUUUUAUCGGGAAAAACGAAAAAAACAAAAAUAGUUGCAAAAAUACAAAAGCGAGGGGGCGGAGCACCUGCUCGUGAACCUGUCGUCAAUGAAGAAGAGCAAAAACAAAUGAUGGCGUAUUACUAUAAAAAACAAGAAGAAUUUAAAAAAUUGGACAAAGAAUCUGAGGAUGCUUACUUGGAUUCACAAUGGGCAGAUACCAAUCAACUUAAAAGACAAUUCCAAGGACUCAAUAACAUCAAAUUCCACUGAGACAAAAUGACAGCCAAUGAACCAGGACGUAUUCAGGAACACAGUGAAGGGAGGGGGAGACUGCAUAUGUACAUGUAUAUGAAUACUGAAGAAAUUGUGUCAUACAGUUUACAUUCAAAUCUGAAUUAGUGUCAUUUUCAAAGACAUGAAUACUUACAUAUAUGUGUCAAAUCAACAGUCAAAACUGGAUCAAGGAUCAGAAUAUAGGACCAAUGACCAUUAUAAACUUGUGGAAUGGGACAUCCAUAUUCUGAUAUUCAGUGUGAUGUUGGAUCACAUUAGACAUGUUAAAGCAGAGGAGACUGGGUGUUUAGAAUAUGUUGAAAUGAUCUGUGAGAUAUAUUUUCAAUAUUAUUAAUAUAAAGAUGUCACCCUUGUUGGUGUUAAGACCAACAUGAAAUCUAUUUAAUAA
rnacentral:misc_RNA from 1 species